rnacentral:rRNA from 1 species
CAAGUCGAGCGGGAUUUCUUUUGGUAGCAAUACCGAGGGAAAUUCAGCGGCGAACGGGUGCGUAACACGUGGGCAAUCUGCCUUAAAGUGUGGGAUAGCUCGGCGAAAGCCGGAUUAAUACCGCAUGUGGCUACUGAAGACAUCUUCGGGACGCUAAAGGUGGCGCAAGCUACCGCUUUUUGAGGAGCCCGCGGCCUAUCAGCUUGUUGGUGAGGUAACGGCUCACCAAGGCGUUGACGGGUAGCUGGUCUGAGAGGACGACCAGCCACACUGGGACUGAGACACGGCCCAGACACCUACGGGUGGCAGCAGUCGAGAAUUUUUGACAAUGGGGGAAACCCUGAUCGAGCGACGCCGCGUGGAGGAUGAAGGUCUUCGGGUUGUAAACUCCUGUCAUUUGGGAACAAGGCGUACGUAUUAACUGUACGUGCGUUGAUAGUACCAGAAGAGGAAGAGACGGCUAACUCUGUGCCAGCAGCCGCGGUAAUACAGAGGUCUCAAGCGUUGUUCGGAUUCAUUGGGCGUAAAGGGUGUGUAGGUGGCGCGCUAAGUCGGGUGUGAAAUUUCGGAGCUUAACUCCGAAACUGCAUUCGAUACUGGCGUGCUUGAGGACUGGAGAGGAGACUGGAAUUUACGGUGUAGCAGUGAAAUGCGUAGAUAUCGUAAGGAAGACCAGUGGCGAAGGCGGGUCUCUGGACAGUUCCUGACACUGAGACACGAAGGCCAGGGGAGCAAACGGGAUUAGAUACCCCGGUAGUCCUGGCAGUAAACGGUGCACGUUUGGUGUGGGAGGAUUCGACCCCUUCUGCGCCGGAGCUAACGCGUUAAACGUGCCGCCUGGGGAGUACGGUCGCAAGAUUAAACUCAAA